rfam:Ovis aries breed Texel chromosome 14, whole genome shotgun sequence.
UCCCAGGUGGCUCAGUGGUCAAGAAUCUGCCUGCCAAUGCAGGAGACACAGGUUUGAUCCCUGGUCUGGGAA